AGAUUGAACGCUGGCGGCAGGCCUAACACAUGCAAGUCGAGCGGUAGAGAGGUGCUUGCACCUCUUGAGAGCGGCGGACGGGUGAGUAAUGCCUAGGAAUCUGCCUAGUGGUGGGGGAUAACGUUCGGAAACGGACGCUAAUACCGCAUACGUCCUACGGGAGAAAGCGGGGGACCUUCGGGCCUCGCGCCAUUAGAUGAGCCUAGGUCGGAUUAGCUAGUUGGUGAGGUAAUGGCUCACCAAAGGCGACGAUCCGUAACUGGUCUGAGAGGAUGAUCAGUCACACUGGAACUGAGACACGGUCCAGACUCCGUACGGGA
rnacentral:rRNA from 1 species